rnacentral:rRNA from 1 species
GACGAACGCUGGCGGCGUGCUUAACACAUGCCAGUCGAACGGAAAGGCCCUGCUUUUGUGGGUUGCUCGAGUGGCGAACGGGUGUGUAACACGUGAGUAACCUGCCCUUGACUUUGGGAUAACUUCAGGAAACUGGGGCUCAUACCGGAUAGGAGCUCCUGCUGCAUGGUGGGGGUUGGAAAGUUUCGGCGGUUGGGGAUGGACUCGCAGCUUAUCAGCUUGUUGGUGGGGUAGUGGCUUACCAAGGGUUUGACGGGUAGCCGGCCUGAGAGGGUGACCAGGGACAAUGGGACUGCGAUACGGCGCAGACGGCUACCGGAGGCAGCAGUGGGGAAUAUGGCACAACGGCCGGACGCCUGAUGCAGCAGUGCCGCGUGCGGGAAGCUGGGCUACGGGUGGUGAACAGAUUUCGACGGUGAUGUAGCGUGAGUGACGGUAAUGGGUAAAGAAGCAACGGCUAACUACGUG